rnacentral:rRNA from 1 species
GCAAUGCACGAAAGUGUGACGGGGCUACCCCGAGUGCCAUCCGCUGAGGGUGGCUUUUCUUUGGUAUAACUAGCCAGGGGAAUAAGGAGAGGGCAAGACUGGUGUCAGCCGCCGCGGUAAUACCAGCUCUCCGAGUGGUAGGGAUGAUUAUUGGGCUUAAAGCGUCCGUAGCCGGCUUAUCAAGUCUCCUGUUAAACUCAGCGACCUAAUCGUUGAAUCGCGGGAGAUACUACUAGGCUAGGAGGCGGGAGAGGUCGACGGUACUUCUGGGGUAGGGGUGAAAUCCUAUAAUCCCAGGAGGACCACCAGUGGCGAAGGCUGUUGACUAGAACGCGCUCGACGGUGAGGGACGAAAGCUGGGGGAGCGAACCGGAUUAGAUACCCGGGUAGUCCCAGCCGUAAACGAUGCGGGCUAAGUGUUGGGAUGGCUACGUGCCAUUUCAGUGCCGCAGGGAAGCCAUUAAGCCCGCCGCCUGGGGAGUACGGCCGCAAGGCUGAAACUUAA